GGCCUCGAGCUCACUUGGCUAGAGCGUUGGCUGUACUAAAGCCUUCUCCUAGCUAGCGUGGGUUCGAACCCCACCGAGUCCA
rnacentral:tRNA from 1 species